ACUCGCUGCCGCGCGCUGGAACAGCGCCCGAGCGCACUGCCGGCGGGGCAGAGCCCCAGCCAGCGCCCCCCGCUGCGGCUGCAGGCUCCUACCCUUCCUGGGCGCGCACACCCGCCUGGCCGAACCGGAGCCUGUGCCUCCAGCACCCCCAGAUAAGGCUGGUACUGCGCCUGUCACUCCCUGGCUGAGCCUGACACUGCGCCCCCAAAGUCCCCUGGCUGAGCGUGACUGCACCCCAUCAACCCUCGGCUGCGUCAGACUUUGAGCCCCAUCACCCGUAAAGAGAUUUCCACACUCCCACAAAUGUUCUGAGCGUCCAGUCACAGCCCCUACCUGGCCAGGCGCGAGCGCCAGGUUCUCAGCGCUGUCAGAAGAACCAGCCUGCUCUGGGACACAGGGCAGCUCUUCUGGUCCCUUGGAGCAACCCCAGCAUCCCGCUCGCAGGCCGGAAUAAAUAUACUUAGGUCUUCCCACGCCCCCUACCUGCGCCACUCUGGAGUGGCGGCCGCUUGCAGAGGUGGCGCCGAAAGCCACGCCCCGGCCCACCCCAGUGCCAAAACGCCGCUCUGAGGACACCGGCACCGGCCCUGAAGCAGCCC
rnacentral:lncRNA from 1 species